rnacentral:lncRNA from 1 species
AUUACUCAUUUCUUCCUAUUUAUUUUCCGUUACUUCAGUUCUCCGCCCAAUUUCCUCACUAACUAUACAUAGCUUACUAUCGAGAACAAUUUCAAUAAUUCAUGGCUGAAGUAGAAGUAACACAAAAACCUGUUCAAGAGAUGGUAGAAAAUGGGAUUCAGUUUCCAAAUGAAUAUAUUUGGAAAGAUGCUAAUUAUGGAGUCAUAGAUGCAUUUGCGCCACUCGCAGAAAUUCCAGUUAUUGAUAUUGCUCGUUUGAAUAAUGUCGAAGAACUCGACAAACUUCGAUCGGCUCUCACCUCAUGGGGAUGCUUUCAGGUUUGAAUUCGAUAAAAAUAAUCUCUUUAAUUUGAUAAUUUACAAUUUGAAUUUUUUUUUUAAAAGCACGGCUAGUCACUUAACUUGCAAAUUUUUGCAAUCAAAUCAUGUAAAUCCCAAUCUAUGUUUCAAUCAAAUUCUCAUUGGCUGUCGAAUAUAAUUUGUAUAUUUGGGUUGGAAUUUCAGGCAAUCAAUCAUGGAAUUGAAUUUUCCCUUCUGGAAAAAAUACGUGAAGUUGGUAGACAGUUUUUUCACCUUCCUAUGAUGGAGAAGCAAAAAUAUGCCAGAGAGGCAGGCAAAAUAGAUGGAUAUGGGAAUGAUAUGAUUCUUUUCGAGAAUCAAACGCUUGAUUGGUUUGAUCGGCUGAUGCUUUUAGUUCAUCCAGAAAAUGAGAGAAAACUCAAAUUUUGGCCUGAAAAUCCACAAUCUUUUAGGUAAUAUUUAUCCUUAAUUAGUAAAAAGAUUAUCUUGCUUAGAGUUAGAUGUUAUACCUAAAGAUUUAUAAAUUAAGAAACAUGGAUUCUCUAGAUCCUUGAGUCGAAUCCUUUGGUUUAUUUCUGUAGUUUGAAGAAUGUAAAUUUAAUGCAUAGCAUGUCCAACUCUGCAGGGCUAUAUUGUUCGAAUAUGCUACAAGGAUUGAGCAGAUAGAAGAACAACUAUUGAAGUCUAUGGCGAGAUCAUUGAAUUUAGAAGAGGACUGCUUCUUGAAGCAAUGUGGUCAGCUCAAACGAUUGGCUGCGCAAUUCAACUAUUACCCUCCUUGUCCAAGGCCUGAUUGUGUCCUUGGACUCAAGCCACAUGCUGAUGCUACGACAGUAACCAUUCUCCUGCAAGAUGAAGAGAUAGAAGGUCUACAAGUCAUGAAAGAUGAUAAGUGGUUUCGUGUUCCUAUAAUCCCUGGUGCUCUUCUCGUUAAUGUUGGUGAUCAAAUAGAGGUAUAUAUUCGUACAGUCACUUCUACAUUUAGACGAGGUAAUUUUGAACGAGAUGGGAUCGAUUCUAUUUCCAAGGCUCUGCCAAGAAUCUUUGGAUAAUAUCCCUAUGCUGAAAGAAAAAUUCCUAAAACUCUAAGACCAUAUCAUUUCUAUCAGAUUUGCUUAGUCUAACAUAACAAAUUAGGUUUUAGAGACCAUUUCACAGUUUCUUUACAUGAACUUGGGCUAGCUUAUGCAGAUAUACUCAUUUUUUGCUCUGUGAUUCCUACAGAUAAUGAGUAAUGGAAUUUUUAAGAGCCCAGUGCACAGAGCAUUAACAAACUCCAAGAAGGAGAGGAAAACUCUAGCCAUGUUCUGUGCUUCAGAAGUUGGAAAAGAGAUUGAACCAGUGGGGAAACUUAUUAAUGACAAUAGGCCAAGAUUAUACAAGGCAGUGAGAGAUUAUCAUGAGACUUUUAUCUUCUCCUACCAGCAGGGAAAGAGGGCAAUUGAUGCAGUGAAAAUGUAGUUAUGACAUGAUCUUUAUUUUUACAGUAAAUCAUGUAGUCUCAAGGAUCAAGGGAUUCCAAGACAAGCUCUUUCUUCCUUCUCUUUGUGUGUUGUGUAGCUGCAAUAAAUAGUGGGUGAUCUUACCAAAUUUAGAUCUACCCUUUCCCGUGGAUCCCUGCUACAACAAUUUCUUGAUGCUUUUAUGGCAUUAUAUUUUAUAGUAUUAAACUAUAUUUAUCUACUGAAACUAAGGGCUUUUCAAUCAAUUACAAGAUGAAGCAGAACUUACUCCCACAAAACAUAGAUUAUCCGUCAAGAGACCUCGUGCAAAUCUAUCUUCUUAUAGUUAUUAGAGCACACAAGCAGGAUGAAAAGGAGGUUAUAUGUUAACCAUGUUCCAUUCGUAGAUCUAUAAAAGAGAUUGGACUAGCAGAGAAACUUGUCAAUGAGAAAAGACCUAUUCUGUAUAAAAUUAUCUUAUGCUCAAAACAGAUGCUAUUUCAGCAUGAGAGCCAGUUCAUCAGUGUUUUAGAAAACUCGAUCGAUAAAAGUUUAAGCAUUUAGAAUGCUUCACAACCAUUACUCUCUUAUCAAUUUCUUAUCUUAUAUAAACCUAGGUCCACCACAUAAUUCUCAUGGGAAGUUAAGAAGGUAUCCCCAGCUUCUAUGAUUUUGAACAUCCUUUAGAAAAUAUCAGAAGAUGAGUAGAUUUGCAAAUACGCACUAAAAUUAGGUCUCAAGUGGAGAAAUGAAUACGGAGGAACACUAAAGUAUGCAUUCUCCAAGCAUAAAUUCUUGAAUAAUAGAAGAAUUAGAAGGAAAAAAAAUAAAGAAAUAUUAAACAUGCUCAAUCAAGCUGUUGACAAGGGCAAAGUAUAAACCAUAAGGAUUAUCAUGAUUGGAUAAUCUUUCAUAUUUUAGUGUAAGUGACAGCACAUUUUCCAAAUAGAUGGUUCUAGACAUGUAAUUUCUAUGAUGGAAGACUCAAAACAGGCUAGUUUCAUAUGUUGAGUAUAAGAACGAUGCUAUCUAGCUAUCGAAUGAUCAGCAGUCUGGAAAAUGAUUAAUUUGCAGAGUAUUCCAAUGGAUAUGUUUGUACGAGUAAGUAGCAUAGUAAGAACUAAUAGCUUAGUCCAUGGAUGAACUCCUAAACAUUUUCUAUAUGAUCAGAGAAAAGCUCAAAGUAUUUUAUAGUGGGACAACUGAUAAUGGUAUAAGAAAUGCAUAGACAGUCAAUUGUUCUACAUUAGAAAAUUUAAUCAAUUCUAACAACCAUACUUCGUAUUUUGUUAUUCCUUCAAUGUUAUACCUAAAUCAACCAUACUGGUCAAAGAUGAGGAACCGGCUGCAGUCUUAGCUAGAAUUCUCGACAACAGAACUGCCCACAAUAGCAUGGUUGCAAAUGCAAACAAUUCCUUGUUAAAUAUACAAAUAGCAAAUCUGUUUCCAAGAGACUAAAUCUCUAGUAAAAAUCACAUCUUGGCACCAGGAUUGCUCUAGAAGAUUAAAUGUUUUCCUUUUGAUGCCACCAAAAAAUUUAAAAAGCCUAAUGGAACAUGGAUCAUAUAUUCUGUAGAGAGCUAUUCUUACCAAGGUAGUAUGUCUUUUUUCAACCUACUCAAGUUCAAUCAAUUUGAACCUCUUAAAGGCUCUAACCACGGAGCAAACAGAUCCCAAAUCUUAAAUAAAUAGCCCAUACCUUCCCAUUCUUUUUUUCUCUGGCAUUUUGAAGUCAAGGAGGACAUGGCCUUUGUUUCUAGUUGUGCUCUGCAAACCUACAUUUCACAUAAAACGCCUAGCACAUUUCAGAACAAUUUGGAUUGAUUAUCAGACAUAGUAUGGAAGAACCAACACUCAUGUCCAUCUUUGAGAGAGAACACAACAAACAACAAAUAUUUCCAUUGCAUCUUCAUUCUGUUUAUUUUUCAAGUAAUUCCUCAUUUUCAAAAGGCCGCCUAUCCAACAUAGCAUGUAAUUUCCUUCCAACCUCGGCUUAGUGGUAAUCAAUCACAGUCCCUAAUGGCGGAGUCAGCAAUCGGUGAGUAAAUGGCGGUGGCCCGUGCUGGCUCCACCGAGAAUUUUUUUCCCCAUAUAUUGGGCAGCCAAGCACGCUGCCCUGACUAGCUCACAUGCUACCCUGACUACCUCACAUGCUGGCCUGGCUACGCCACUGAUAAUCCACGACAACAAACUCCUAUUGGGAGCUUUAUCUUCAUUACCGCUUGUGGCUAUCAACCUAAUUAUCAAUCUUUUUGCCAUACUAAAAUGGUUAUCUCUUCCCACUAUAAGUUUCACUUAAAGCAACAAAAUAAAGUGAUUCUGCGUUGCGGAUGAGCUACGUUCUAUACAGUAGUCAAGAACAAUCGUCAAUCUCCAAUAGGAGUCACAAUUUUUCGAAUUACGAUACUGUAUAUUUUAAUUUUUUGAAUAUUCUUGGUAGUACUAUACAAUUUGUCAUUUAAUAGAAACUGAUAAAAACUAAUCAUUUAUUGCAGUCAAGAGAUAGAAAUUUGGAAGAGAAGUGAAAGUGUUUGGAAAACCACCACACUUACUAGAGGUGAGUUGAUUUCAUAUAUAAUUUCUUCCUAUUUAUUUUCCGUUACUUCAGUUCUCCGCCCAAUUUCCUCACUAACUAUACAUAGCUUACUAUCGAGAACAAUUUCAAUAAUUCAUGGCUGAAGUAGAAGUAACACAAAAACCUGUUCAAGAGAUGGUAGAAAAUGGGAUUCAGUUUCCAAAUGAAUAUAUUUGGAAAGAUGCUAAUUAUGGAGUCAUAGAUGCAUUUGCGCCACUCGCAGAAAUUCCAGUUAUUGAUAUUGCUCGUUUGAAUAAUGUCGAAGAACUCGA